GACGAACGCUGGCGGCGUGCUUAACACAUGCAAGUCGAACGGAAAGGCCCUGCUUUUGUGGGGUGCUCGAGUGGCGAACGGGUGAGUAACACGUGAGUAACCUGCUCUUGACUUUGGGAUAACUUCAGGAAACUGGGGCUAAUCUCGGAUAGGAGCUCCUGCUGCAUGGUGGGGGUUGGAUAGUUUCGGCGGUUGGGGAUGGACUCGCGGCUUAUCAGCUUGUUGGUGGGGUAGUGGCUUACCAAGGCUUUGACGGGUAGCCGGCCUGAGAGGGUGACCGGCCACAUUGGGACUGAGAUACGGCCCAGACUCCUACGGGAGGCAGCAGUGGGGAAUAUUGCACAAUGGGCGGAAGCCUGAUGCAGCAACGCCGCGUGCGGGAUGACGGCCUUCGGGUUGUAAACCGCAUUCGCCUGUGACGAAGCGUGAGUGACGGUAAUGGGUAAAGAAGCACCGGCUAACUACGUG
rnacentral:rRNA from 1 species